AGAGUUUGAUCAUGGCUCAGGAUGAACGCUGGCGGCGUGCGUAAUACAUGCAAGUCGAACGCUUUGUUUUUAAUUGAUAGGAAGAGCUUGCUCUGAUUUGAUUUUAUCUGACAAAGAGUGGCGAACGGGUGAGUAACACGUGGGUAACCUACCUCUUAGCAGGGGAUAACAUUUGGAAACAAGUGCUAAUACCGUAUAACACUAACAACCGCAUGGUUGUUAGUUGAAAGAUGGUUCUGCUAUCACUAAGAGAUGGACCCGCGGUGCAUUAGCUAGUUGGUAAGGUAAUGGCUUACCAAGGCGAUGAUGCGUAGCCGAGUUGAGAGACUGAUCGGCCACAAUGGGACUGAGACACGGCCCAUACUCCUACGGGAGGCAGCAGUAGGGAAUCUUCCACAAUGGGCGCAAGCCUGAUGGAGCAACGCCGCGUGUGUGAUGAAGGGUUUCGGCUCGUAAAACACUGUUAUAAGAGAAGAACGACAUUGAGAGUAACUGUUCAGUGUGUGACGGUAUCUUAUCAGAAAGGAACGGCUAAAUACGUGCCAGCAGCCGCGGUAAUACGUAUGUUCCAAGCGUUAUCCGGAUUUAUUGGGCGUAAGGCGAGCGCAGACGGUUAUUUAAGUCUGAAGUGAAAGCCCUCAGCUCAACUGAGGAAGGGCUUUGGAAACUGGAUAACUUGAGUGCAGUAGAGGAAAGUGGAACUCCAUGUGUAGCGGUGAAAUGCGUAGAUAUAUGGAAGAACACCGGUGGCGAAAGCGGCUUUCUGGACUGUAACUGACGUUGAGGCUCGAAAGUGUGGGUAGCAAACAGGAUUAGAUACCCUGGUAGUCCACACCGUAAACGAUGAGUGCUAGAUGUUCGAGGGUUUCCGCCCUUGAGUGUCGCAGCU
rnacentral:rRNA from 1 species